rnacentral:rRNA from 1 species
AUACGUAGGGGGCUAGCGUUGUCCGGAUUUAUUGGGCGUAAAGAGCGCGUAGGCGGCCGAGUAAGUCCGACGUGAAAUCUGGAGGCUUAACCUCCAGCGGUCGUUGGAAACUACUCGGCUAGAGUCCGGAAGAGGAGAGUGGAAUUCCUGGUGUAGCGGUGAAAUGCGCAGAUAUCAGGAAGAACACCGAUGGCGAAAGCAGCUCUCUGGGACGGUACUGACGCUGAGGCGCGAAAGCGUGGGGAGCGAACAGGA